rnacentral:rRNA from 1 species
CCUACGGGAGGCAGCAGUGGGGAAUAUUGGACAAUGGGGGGAACCCUGAUCCAGCGACGCCGCGUGAGUGAAGAAGUAUUUCGGUAUGUAAAGCUCUAUCAGCAGGGAAGAAAGAAAUGACGGUACCUGACUAAGAAGCCCCGGCUAACUACGUGCCAGCAGCCGCGGUAAUACGUGGGGGGCAAGCGUUAUCCGGAUUUACUGGGUGUAAAGGGGGCGUAGACGGCGAGGCAAGUCUGAAGUGAAAGGCGGGGGCCCAACCCCUGGACUGCUUUGGAAACUGUAUGGCUGGAGUGCAGGAGAGGUAAGUGGAAUUCCUAGUGUAGCGGUGAAAUGCGUAGAUAUUAGGAGGAACACCAGUGGCGAAGGCGGCUUACUGGACUGUAACUGACGUUGAGGCUCGAAAGCGUGGGGAGCAAACAGGAUUAGAUACCCUUGUAGUC